GGGAGUAUAGCUUGGUUAGUAGAGUUCUUGUCUGGNGUGCACAAAGCCCUGGGUUCAAACCCCAGUACUGCUU
rnacentral:tRNA from 1 species